UGGGGAAUUUUGGACAAUGGGCGCAAGCCUGAUCCAGCCAUUCCGCGUGCAGGACGAAGGCCUUCGGGUUGUAAACUGCUUUUGUACGGAACGAAAAGCCCUUCUCUAAUACAGAGGGGUCAUGACGGUACCGUAAGAAUUAGCACCGGCUAACUACGUGCCAGCAGCCGCGGUAAUACGUAGGGUGCAAGCGUUAAUCGGAAUUACUGGGCGUAAAGCGUGCGCAGGCGGUUUUGUAAGACAGAGGUGAAAUCCCCGGGCUCAACCUGGGAACUGCCUUUGUGACUGCAAGGCUGGAGUGCGGCAGAGGGGGAUGGAAUUCCGCGUGUAGCAGUGAAAUGCGUAGAUAUGCGGAGGAACACCGAUGGCGAAGGCGCUGACCUGGACGAAGACUGACGCUGAGGUGCGAAAGCGCGGGGAGCAAACA
rnacentral:rRNA from 1 species